rnacentral:rRNA from 1 species
CGGCAGACGGGAGAGUAACACGUGGGAACGUGCCCUUCAGUUCGGAACAACCCAGGGAAACUUGGGCUAAUACCGGAUACGUCCGAAAGGAGAAAGAUUUAUCGCUGAAGGAUCGGCCCGCGUCUGAUUAGCUUGUUGGUGAGGUAACGGCUCACCAAGGCGACGAUCAGUAGCUGGUCUGAGAGGAUGAUCAGCCUCACUGGGACUGAGACACGGCCCAG